AUGGCUCUGAAUCAAGGCUGGCAGUUUUCUGAAGCUCUUUGCUUUGAUCAGGAGCCUAAAGUAUCUUUCUGUGUUCUGUUGGCCAUUUCAGAACAUUAGUCUUUUGACCAUUUCCAAAAUGUAAUGGUCAGUUCAUUAAAAAGAAAUCUCU
ensembl:snoRNA